rnacentral:rRNA from 1 species
CGCGUAGGUGGUUUGUUAAGUUGGAUGUGAAAGCCCCGGGCUCAACCUGGGAACUGCAUCCAAAACUGGCAAGCUAGAGUACGGUAGAGGGUGGUGGAAUUUCCUGUGUAGCGGUGAAAUGCGUAGAUAUAUGGAGGAACACCGGUGGCGAAAGCGGCUCUCUGGUCUGUAACUGACACUGAGGCUCGAAAGCGUGGGGAGCAAACA